rnacentral:rRNA from 1 species
GACGAACGCUGGCGGCGUGCUUAACACAUGCAAGUCGAACGGAAAGGCCCUGCUUUUGUGGGGUGCUCGAGUGGCGAACGGGUGAGUAACACGUGAGUAACCUGCCCUUGACUUUGGGAUAACUUCAGGAAACUGGGGCUAAUACCGGAUAGGAGCUCCUGCUGCAUGGUGGGGGUUGGAAAGUUUCGGCGGUUGGGGAUGGACUCGCGGCUUAUCAGCUUGUUGGUGGGGUAGUGGCUUACCAAGGCUUUGACGGGUAGCCGGCCUGAGAGGGUGACCGGCCACAUUGGGACUGGGAUACGGCCCAGACUCCUACGGGAGGCAGCAGUGGGGAAUAUUGCACAAUGGGCGGAAGCCUGAUGCAGCAACGCCGCGUGCGGGAUGACGGCCUUCGGGUUGGAAACCGCUUUCGCCUGUGACGAAGCGUGAGUGACGGUAAUGGGUAAAGAAGCACCGGCUAACUACGU